CUGCAGACAACCCUGAUGGACAGCCAGGGUUGAGCCCACUGGUCUAGACCCACUUCCUCAAACAUGGCACCGGGACUUACCGAUGGUCAGUUUGAGGUUUUGUGUGAUUCACUACUUCUCAGACUCCAGCAUAUGUAAGCGUCACCCAGGAAGCUCCCUAGAACAUGGGUUCCUGGGCCCUACUGCCAGCUUCCCAUUCAGCAGUCUGGGGUGAGGCCCAGGAACUUGCAUUUCUAUCAAGCCCCAGGUGACCUUGAUGCUGCAGGUUGGCGGCCUCCACCUUGAAUAGCAGGGCGAGAGGCAAUGUGAUACGACAAUAAAGGAACAGUAAAGGGAAGUUUCCAAUGGUUUAAGUACCUGUAAGACAGUGGGUGCAAGUGUUUGAAUGGGAGGCGCUGGGGUUGGUGUCAGGGCAGCUGGGCCCGGAUUUGCGAGCACCCCACAGCUCUACCUGCUCUGUAGCAAGUGUGGGGGGGAAGGUCAGGCCCUGGGCCGGAGUGCGGCUUUGUGAAGGGGAGUGGUGGCCCAAAAGUGGCGGAAAGGGCCAGUUUCCGAAGGCUCUUCCUUCCCAGACUUGGACGUGGACGCCGUAGGCAACAGCGAGGUCUUUGCAGAGGCCCGGGCCCAUUCGGAGCACCUGCUCGCAGGCAGGUAAGGUAAUGACAACCAACGGGGAUUGGCUGGGGCAGCGGCCAGGGUGCGGACUGCAGGGACAAGACGGAAGGGAGGGAUGGGGUACACAGCCGGCAACCUGCCCCGAGCAGCCCCCCUGUCGCUCCCCCAGCCAAUCCACGUAGCCGGUGGGCGUUGCCGCCUCCCCCCAGCCCCUCCGCCCACUCCCAGUCGUAAGGACACCACCCGUCUCCCAUCUGGAUUCACUCAGCGGCUUCCUCACCGCCUCCGCCCCCCUGCGAGCUCUUCCCAGCAUGGCCCUGACCCAGAUGCUUCCAAAACGUCCCUCUCUGCUUCUCUGCUUCCGUGUCAUUCACGGCGACAGGUCUGCCCCUCCUCCAGAGCACCUCCCACCCACGUGCAGAUGGUGGCCUCUGGGGAGUGGAAUCAAGUGUGCAAUGACAGCGGCCGGGACCUGGGAGUGCUGCUUUUGCGAGUAAGUCUUGCAGGGUUAAUGGACUUGUAAAUUAUGUGAGUGUAAACCUUUCAUUCGCUUGUUUG
rnacentral:lncRNA from 1 species